rnacentral:rRNA from 1 species
GACGAACGCUGGCGGCGUGCUUAACACAUGCAAGUCGAACGGAAAGGCCCUGCUUUUGUGGGGUGCUCGAGUGGCGAACGGGUGAGUAACACGUGAGUAACCUGCCCUUGACUUUGGGAUAACUUCAGGAAACUAGGGCUAAUACCGGAUAGGAGCUCCUGCUGCAUGGUGGGGGUUGGAAAGUUUCGGCGGUUGGGGAUGGACUCGCGGCUUAUCAGCUUGUUGGUGGGGUAGUGGCUUACCAAGGCUUUGACGGGUAGCCGGCCUGAGAGGGUGACCGGCCACAUUGGGACUGAGAUACGGCCCAGACUCCUACGGGAGGCAGCAGUGGGGAAUAUUGCACAAUGGGCGGAAGCCUGAUGCAGCAACGCCGCGUGCGGGAUGACGGCCUUCGGGUUGUAAACCGCUUUCGCCUGUGACGAAGCGUGAGUGGCGGUAAUGGGUAAAGAAGCACCGGCUAACUACGUG